rnacentral:rRNA from 1 species
UACGGGGGGGGGCAAGCGUUGUUCGGAAUUACUGGGCGUAAAGGGCUCGUAGGUGGCCAACUAAGUCAGACGUGAAAUCCCUCGGCUUAACCGGGGAACUGCAUCUGAUACUGGAUGGCUUGAGUUCGGGAGAGGGAUGCGGAAUUCCAGGUGUAGCGGUGAAAUGCGUAGAUAUCUGGAGGAACACCGGUGGCGAAGGCGGUUCUCUGGGCCUUACCUGACGCUGAGGAGCGAAAGCGUGGGGAGCGAACAGG